GGACGCUUGGCCAAGAGGUAAGGCGCUUGACUUCGGCUUUACUUCCGACAUCAAGAGAUCACAGGUUCGAUCCCUGUAGCGUUCG